GCUCUGCUAGAUUGCAAAUGACCUACUUUCUUUCUGAUCCUGGGCUGCGUUCCCACCCCUGUCAGAUAGUAAAUCCCAAGUAAGGUACCUGCUUUCAGCAGAUCUGAGCUUUCUUCUUGGACACCUAAAACCCACAGUCCUCCAG
rnacentral:sRNA from 1 species